GACGAACGCUGGCGGCGUGCUUAACACAUGCAAGUCGAACGGAAAGGCCCUGCUUUUGUGGGGUGCUCGAGUGGCGAACGGGUGAGUAACACGUGAGUAACCUGCCCUUGACUUUGGGAUAACUUCAGGAAACUGGGGCUAAUACCGGAUAGGAGCUCCUGCUGCAUGGUGGGGGUUGGAAAGUUUGGGCGGUUGGGGAUGGACUCGGGGCUUAUCAGCUUGUUGGGGGGGGAGUGGCUUACCAAGGCUUUGACGGGUAGCCGGCCUGAGAGGGUGACCGGCGACAAUGGGACUGAGAGACGGACCAGUCUCCUAUGUGAGGCAGCAGGCGGGAAUAUGGCACAAUGGUGGGAAGCCUGUUGCAGAAACGCCGCGUGCGGGAUGACGGCCUUCGGGUUGUAAACCGCUUUCGCCUGUGACGAAGCGUGAGUGACGGUAAUGGGUAAAGAAGCACCGGCUAACUACGUG
rnacentral:rRNA from 1 species